UACGUAGGGGGCGAGCGUUGUCCGGAUUCAUUGGGCGUAAAGGAGCUCGUGAGGCGGUUUGGCAAGUCAGGUGUGAAAUCUCCGGGCUCAACUCGGAGAGGCCACCUGAUACUGCUAUGACUAGAGUCCGGUAGGGGACCAUGGAAUUCCCGGUGUAGUGGUGAAAUGCGUAGAGAUCGGGAGGAACACCAGUGGCGAAGGCGGCUCGCUGGGCCGGUCCUGACGCUGAGACGCGAAGGCGUGGGGAGCGAACGGG
rnacentral:rRNA from 1 species